CGAUGAGUGCUAGGUGUUAGGGGGGUCCAACCCCUUAGUGCUGAAGUUAACACAUUAAGCACUCCGCCUGGGGAGUACGACCGCAAGGUUGAAACUCAAAGGAAUUGACGGGGGCCCGCACAAGCAGUGGAGCAUGUGGUUUAAUUCGAAGCAACGCGAAGAACCUUACCAGGUCUUGACAUCCUCUGACAACCCUAGAGAUAGGGCGUUCCCCUUCGGGGGACAGAGUGACAGGUGGUGCAUGGUUGUCGUCAGCUCGUGUCGUGAGAUGUUGGGUUAAGUCCCGCAACGAGCGCAACCCUUGAUGUUAGUUGCCAGCAUUCAGUUGGGCACUCUAACGUGACUGCCGGUGACAAACCGGAGGAAGGUGGGGAUGACGUCAAAUCAUCAUGCCCCUUAUGACCUGGGCUACACACGUGCUACAAUGGGCGGUACAAAGGGCAGCGAAACCGCGAGGUGGAGCCAAUCCCAUAAAGCCGCUCUCAGUUCGGAUUGCAGGCUGCAACUCGCCUGCAUGAAGCCGGAAUUGCUAGUAAUCGCGGAUCAGCAUGCCGCGGUGAAUACGUUCCCGGGCCUUGUACACACCGCCCGUCACACCACGAGAGUUUGUAACACCCGAAGUCGGUGGGCGAACCGUUACGGACGCAGCCGCCAAAGGUGGGACAAAUGAUUGGGGUGAAGUCGUAACAAGGUAACCAAU
rnacentral:rRNA from 1 species